AUGGCCCUGAGUUGAGGUAGGCAGUUUUCUGAAGCUGUUGGUUUCAAGCAAGAGCCUAUCGUGGUAUCUUUCUAUGGUCUGUUGGCCAUUUCAGAACUUUAGAAAGCAAUGAUCAAUUCAUUAGAAAUACACGACU
ensembl:snoRNA